CCCGGGGCGCGAGCCCGGGCGGAGCGGCCGUCGGUGCAGAUCUUGGUGGUAGUAGCAAAUAUUCAAAUGAGAACUUUGAAGGCCGAAGAGGAGAUAGGUUCCAUGUGAACGGCACUUGCACAUGGGUAAGCCGAUCCUAAGGGACGGGGUAACCCCGGCAGAUAGCGCGAUCACGCGCAUCCCCCGAAAGGGAAUCGGGUUAAGAUUUCCCGAGCCGGGAUGUGGCGGUUG
rnacentral:ncRNA from 1 species